rnacentral:rRNA from 1 species
UGGGGAAUAUUGGACAAUGGGCGGAAGCCUGAUCCAGCAACGCCGCGUGAGGGAUGACGGCCUUCGGGUUGUAAACCUCUUUCAUCAUUGACGAAGUCCAGCUUUUUGUUGGGUGACGGUAGGUGGAGAAGAAGCACCGGCCAACUACGUGCCAGCAGCCGCGGUAAUACGUAGGGUGCGAGCGUUGUCCGGAAUUAUUGGGCGUAAAGGGCUCGUAGGCGGUUUGUCGCGUCGGGAGUGAAAACACUGGGCUUAACCGAGUGCUUGCUUUCGAUACGGGCAGACUAGAGGUAUGCAGGGGAGAACGGAAUUCCUGGUGUAGCGGUGAAAUGCGCAGAUAUCAGGAGGAACACCGGUGGCGAAGGCGGUUCUCUGGGCAUUACCUGACGCUGAGGAGCGAAAGUGUGGGGAGCGAACA